CCUCUGGACCACCAGGUGGCAGCAGUGUUUCACCUCCGGGCCACCAGGUGGCAGCAGACCGCUCUGAGACAGCUCUCUGUCCCGCUGAGAACAGGAAGAAGCCGGGAUCACAGCAGAACCAACCCAGGAGAUAAACAAACAACAGAACCACGAAGAUUCUGACCGGUUCUGUUCCGGUCCAAUAGGCUCCUGACUCACCUCUGCUGCUGAGUAAGAAAAUAUCUUUAACAGAACCGAACCUUUCCAGCAGCCCAGGUCCAGAGGAUGAGGAUGAGGAGGACUUCAUCAUGUCCUGCUCCUCUGCACGCUUCCUGCUGCUGAAACGACUUGGUCUGACCUGGAGCCUCUCAGCUGCAGGGCCCACAUGGGACCCC